CAUGUACUCCCUUCGUUCGGAAUUAUUUAUCAUGAAAAUGGAUGUAUCUAAACAUAUUUUAGUUUUGGAUACACCCAUUUCCGAGACAAGUAAUUUCAAACGGAGGGAGUAAAAC
rnacentral:pre_miRNA from 1 species